UUCUCCUUCUCCUUCUCCUCUACUCUUCUACCUUCUGAAUCAAAGAUCAAACCAAAUCAUCUUAUCAUGAAUCAUUCCAAGCGUCACCAGUAUUGUAGCCCUAUAGUUGGGAAGAUUCUUUCAUCUUCUUCGUUGGCAAGGUUCUUCCAUUUGAGGGUUGUUGUCAUCGAUGGUCAUCAAAGUUGAGAUCUGCUUACCUGCGGCUAGAUUUCCGCCAUGAAUCUGUUUGUAACAGCAGUGGUUCAGCAUCUACAGUGGAUUCAACAUUCUAUAGUGGAUUCAAUAUCAGGUGUUUGGUUAAUUUUUGGUCAGGUUUCCUAUUCAGUUUUGAUGUUC